rnacentral:rRNA from 1 species
AGAGUUUGAUCCUGGCUCAGGAUAAACGCUGGCGGCGUGCCUAACACAUGCAAGUCGAACGCUCUGAGCAAUCAGAGAGUGGCGGACGGGUGAGGAACACGUGGGUAUCUGCCUUUCGGUGAGGAAUACCGGCGAGAAAUCGCCGACAAUACCGCAUAUCCUCAGCAAUGAGGAAAGUCGUAAGACGCCGGAAGAUGAGCCUGCGCCCGAUUAGCUGGUUGGUGGGGUAAAGGCCUACCAAAGCGACGAUCGGUAGCUGGUCUGAGAGGACAAUCAGCCACACUGGGAUUGAGAACGGCCCAGACUCCUACGGGGGGCAGCAGUGAGGAAUUUUCGGCAAUGGGGGCAACCCUGACCGAGCAACGCCGCGUGCAGGACGACGGCCUUCGGGUUGUAAACUGCUUUUCUCUGGGACGAGCAAGGACGGUACCAGAGGAAGAAGCCCCGGCUAACUACGUGCCAGCAGCCGCGGUAAUACGUAGGGGGCGAGCGUUGUCCGGAGUUACUGGGCGUAAAGCGCACGCAGGCGGUCGCGCAGGUGUGGGGUGACAGUGGUCGGCUUAACCGACCGAGUGCCUCGCAAACGGCGUGACUUGAGGGCCACAGAGGGACAUGGAACUCCAGGUGUAGUGGUGAAAUGCGUAGAUAUCUGGAAGAACACCAAAGGCGAAGGCAGUGUCCUGGGUGGUACCUGACGCUGAUGUGCGAAAGCCAGGGGAGCGAACGGGAUUAGAUACCCCGGUAGUCCUGGCCGUAAACGAUGACCACUAGAUGUGCGGGGUAUCGACCCCCUGCGUGUCGGAGUUAACGCAAUAAGUGGUCCGCCUGGGGAGUACGGUCGCAAGAUUAAAACUCAAAGGAAUUGACGG